rnacentral:rRNA from 1 species
AUUGAACGCUGGCGGCAGGCCUAACACAUGCAAGUCGAGCGAGCGGCGGACGGGUGAGUAAUGUCUGGGAAACUGCCUGAUGGAGGGGGAUAACUACUGGAAACGGUAUCUAAUACCGCAUACCAUCAGAUGUGCCCCGGUGGGAUUAGCUAGUAGGGGGGGUAACGGCUAACCUAGGCGACGAUCGCUAGCGGGUCGGAGAGGAUGACAAGCCACACUGGAACUGGUACACGGUCCAGACUCCUCCGGGAGGCAGCAGUGGGGAAUAUUGCACAAUGGGCGCAAGCCUGAUGCAGCCAUGCCGCGUGUGUGAAGAAGGCCUUCGGGUUGUAAAGCACUUUCAGCGGGGAGGCGUUACCCGCAGAAGAAGCACCGGCUAACUCCGUGCCAGCAGCCGCGGUAAUAC